AGCAAGAUAGCACAGCGGUUAGUGCGCGGAUUCUUGAAGGGUGCAUUAAUCCGCUACCCUCGUUCGACUCGGGGUCUCGCCU